AGAGUUUGAUUCUGGCUCAGAACGAACGCUGGCAGCGUGGAUUAGGCAUGCAAGUCGAACGAGAAUCCGUUACUUCAAGUUUUCGGACGAGAAGUGGCGGAGGAGAGUGGCGGAAGGGUGAGUAACGCGUGGGUAACCUGCCCCCUUGUUGAGAACAACUAUGCGAAAGCGUAGCUAAUACUGAAUAUGGUUUUUCUCCGCAUGGAGGAGCAACCAAAGGUGGGGCCUUUCGGGGCCUGCCGCGAGGGGAGGGACCCGCGUCCGAUCAGCUUGUUGGUGGGGUAACGGCUCACCAAGGCUACGACCGGUAGCUGGUCUGAGAGGAUGGUCAGCCACACUGGGACUGAGACGCUGCCCAGACUCCUACGGGAGGCUGCAGUCGAGGAUCAUAGUCAAUGCGCGAAAGCGUGAACUUGCGGCGCUGCGUGGAGGAUGACGGCUUUCGGGUUGUAAACUCCUGUCAUGAGGGAACAAUUACGUGAGGGUUAAUACCCCUUGCGAGUGAUGGUACCUCAAGAGGAAGCCACGGCUAACUCUGUGCCAGCAGCCGCGGUAAUACAGAGGUGGCGAGCGUUGUUCGGAUUUACUGGGCGUAAAGCGUGCGUAGGUGGUUCUGUGUGUCGGACGUGAAAUCCCGCCGCUCAACGGCGGAACUGCGUUCGAAACUGCAGAUCUGGAGUGCAGGAGGGGAGAGCGGAAUUCUUGGUGAAGCGGUGAAAUGCGUUGAUAUCAAGAAGAACACCGGUGGCGAAGGCGGCUCUCUGGAAUGUUACUGACACUGAGGCACGAAAGCUGGGGGAGCAAACAGGAUUAGAUACCCUGGUAGUCCCAGCUGUAAACGGUGCGCACUUGGUGUUGGCGGUAUUGACCCCGCCAGUGCCGGAGCUAACGCGUUAAGUGCGCCGCCUGGGGAGUACGGCCGCAAGGCUAAAACUCAAAGAAAUUGACGGGUCCCGCACAAGCGGAGGAGCAUGUGGCUUAAUUCGAUGCAACGCGAAGAACCUUACCAGGGCUUGACAUGCAGCUGCACGGCCGGUGAAAGCCGGUUUCCUUCGAGGGUGCUGCACAGGUGCUGCAUGGCUGUCGUCAGUUCGUGCCGUGAGGUGUCGGGUUAAGUCCCGCAACGAACGCAACCCUUGUGUCUAGUUGCUACCGUAGGUGAUGAGCCUGCGGGCACUCUAGACAGACUGCCCGUACAAGCGGGAGGAAGGUGGGGACGACGUCAAGUCAGUAUGGCCCUUACGCCCUGGGCUGCACACGUGCUACAAUGGUCGGUACAGAGGGCUGCAAAGCCGCGAGGUGGAGCUAAUCCCGAAAGCCGGCCUCAGUUCGGAUUGGAGUCUGCAACUCGACUCCAUGAAGUUGGAUUCGCUAGUAACGGCGUAUCAGCUACGGCGCCGUGAAUACGUUCCCGGGCAUUGUACACACCGCCCGUCACAUCAUGAAAGCCGUCUGCACUCGAAGUCGCUGAGCCAACCCGCAAGGGAGGCAGGCGCCGAAGGUGUUGGUGGUGAUUGGGAUGAA
rnacentral:rRNA from 1 species